rnacentral:lncRNA from 1 species
AACGCCUGUGCUCAAUGGGGGCUUUGUUCUGUGCUGCAGCAGCGGGGCCCCAGCACAACCCCCCCCCACCCCCCCCAUCCCGCCACGCCCCGGGGGCUGGGGGUGUGCACAGGCGUGCCACGCUGUGCAAAAGCGUGUGACGGCCGCGGCGGAGGCGUGCACGGCUGGGCCGUGGUGUGCAACGCCGCACGGAACCGUGCAAAGCCGUGCAAAACCGCGGGGGCUGCAGAAAUCCGUGUGACAUCCCGGCGCCGUGCGACGUCACGUGGAGCUGUGCCACGGCGUGCGACGUCAUGUGAUGUCACACGACGUCAUACAAUGACAUGCAAUGACAUACGAAGCCACCCAGCGCACGGGGACACGCGGAGGACGCGCAGCAUCCGUGCCCUCCUGUGUCCGUGUGUCCCUGUGGCACAACGUGUCCGUGGUCCUUUUCGCUGUCCUCCCCUUACGACCCCAUUGCACGUCCCCCGUGUCCCACAGACGUGUCACGCCGUGUCUGCCAUGUCCCCGUGUCCCCAGGGCUUUGUCCCACACCGUGCCCCCCCCAUCCGUGCCCCCACAUCCCUGUGUCCCACCCCGUGUCCCCCGUGGCCGUGUCGCUGCACCCAGUCCCUCUGUCCGUCCAUCCCUCUGUCCUCCCGUUCCAGGACCUGUUCCCGCGCCUCCUUUCCCCAUCUCCGUGUCCCUGCGUGUCCCCGCGUCCCUUUGUCCUCGUAUGGCCCCGUCCCCAUGUCCGUAUGUCCCCAUGUCCAUACGCCCCCAUGUCUAUAUGUCCCCAUGUCCGUACGUCCUCAUGUCCGUAUGUCCCCAUGUCUGUAUGUCCCCAUGUCUAUAUGUCCCCAUGUCCAUACGCCCCCAUGUCUAUAUGUCCCCAUGUCCGUAUGUCCCCAUGUCCGUACGUCCUCAUGUCCGUAUGUCCCCAUGUCCGUAUGUCCCCAUGUCCGUAUGUCCUCAUGUCCAUAUGUCCUCAUGUCUGUAUGUCCCCAUGUCCGUAUGUCCU